rnacentral:rRNA from 1 species
CCGUCCCAGUUCAGAUCGCAGUCCGCAACUCGACUGCGUGAAGUCGGAAUCGCUAGUAAUCGCGGAUCAGCAUGCCGCGGUGAAUACGUUCCCGGGCCUUGUACACACCGCCCGUCACACCAUGAGAGUCGGGAACACCCGAAGUCCGUAGUCUAACCGCAAGGGGACGCGGCCGAAGGUGGGUUCGAUAAUUGGGGUGAAGUCGUAACAAGGUAAC